rnacentral:rRNA from 1 species
GGGGCUAAUUUGACUCAACACGGGGAACCUCAUCAGGCCAGGACACCGGAAGGAUUGACAGAUUGAGAGCUCUUUCUUGAUUCGGUGGGUGGUGGUGCAUGGCCGUUCUUAGUUCGUGGAGUGAUUUGUCUGCUUAAUUGCGAUAACGAACGAGAUCCUACCCUACUAACUAGUCGAAACCGGCAUCCCCUGUGCAGCCGGCGACCAACACUCUUCUUAGAGGGACAGGCGGCUUCCAGCCGCAGGAAGUGGGGCAAUAACAGGUCUGUAAUGCCCUUAGAUGUUCUGGGCAGCACGCGCGCUACACUGAAGGGAUCAACGUGUGUUUUCCUUGCUCGAGAGGGCCGGGUAACCCGUUGAAACUCCUUCGUGCUAGGGAUUGGGGCUUGCAAUUAUUCCCCACCAACGAGGAAUGCCUAGUAAGCGGGAAUCAUUACUUCCUGCUGAUUAAGUCCUCCUCUA